GUCAUAACAAAGAUCACUUUCUUUUCUGUAUGCUUGCACAUAUGAGCUAAUAUUGCAGUCACAGCACUGGGCAUCAUCUGCAGUCAAGACUGGGGUCAUAAGCUGUCAUAGGAGGCCAAUCCACAAUUGGGCUUUGACAACUUUGCGACGCCUUUGUGAUUUCUCUGAGACGCUUUAAAUAAGCUGUUUAUCAUAGUUAUUUCCAGAGAUUGUAUUACAAUUAUGUAAUCAUUAAAAGUUAUAGUGUUGAGGGAAAACUAAAUUAAAUGGACAUGUAAUGAACCCA